ACCAGAAUCGAUGGAAGAAUUAUCACCCCACAUCAGAGCCGGCUUAACCUGCAACCUUGCACCAGAAAACAAUUUAGAGAGUAGAGAAGUCUUCCAAGCAACCCGAUAGAAACCCAGCCACACGCUCUCUCCACAAAGCUCUUCCAAUGCAUCAACAACCUCAACCAAGCUUAACUAAACUAAACAACUUCACCAGACUCUAAACAUCCUAGUUAAGGCUGCAAACAGGAG
rnacentral:lncRNA from 1 species